rnacentral:rRNA from 1 species
GACUCUCGGCAACGGAUAUCUCGGCUCACGCAUCGAUGAAGAACGUAGCAAAAUGCGAUACUUGGUGUGAAUUGCAGAAUCCCGUGAACCAUCGAGUUUUUGAACGCAAGUUGCGCCCGAUGCCAUCUGGUUGAGGGCACGUCUGCCUGGGCGUCA